UACAGAGGUCUCAAGCGUUGUUCGGAUUCAUUGGGCGUAAAGGGUGCGUAGGCGGCACGGUAAGUCGGGAGUGAAAGCCCGGGGCUCAACCCCGGAACGUCUUUCGAAACUGCCGAGCUAGAGUGCGGAAGAGGCAACUGGAAUUCCCAGUGUAGCGGUGAAAUGCGUAGAUAUUGGGAAGAACACCUGAGGCGAAGGCGGGUUGCUGGGCCGACACUGACGCUGAUGCGCGAAAGCCAGGGGAGCGAACGGG
rnacentral:rRNA from 1 species